AGAGUUUGAUCCUGGCUCAGGACGAACGCUGGCGGCGUGCUUAACACAUGCAAGUCGAACGGAAAGGCCCUUCGGGGUACUCGAGUGGCGAACGGGUGAGUAACACGUGGGUGAUCUGCCCUGCACUUUGGGAUAAGCCUGGGAAACUGGGUCUAAUACCGAAUAUGACCAUGCACUUCCUGGUGUGUGGUGGAAAGCUUUUGCGGUGUGGGAUGGGCCCGCGGCCUAUCAGCUUGUUGGUGGGGUAAUGGCCUACCAAGGCGACGACGGGUAGCCGGCCUGAGAGGGUGACCGGCCACACUGGGACUGAGAUACGGCCCAGACUCCUACGGGAGGCAGCAGUGGGGAAUAUUGCACAAUGGGCGCAAGCCUGAUGCAGCGACGCCGCGUGAGGGAUGGCGGCCUUCGGGUUGUAAACCUCUUUCAGCACAGACGAAGCGCAAGUGACGGUAUGUGCAGAAGAAGGACCGGCCAACUACGUGCCAGCAGCCGCGGUAAUACGUAAGGUCCGAGCGUUGUCCGGAAUUACUGGGCGUAAAGAGCUCGUAGGUGGUUUGUCGCGUUGUUCGUGAAAACUCACAGCUUAACUGUGGGCGUGCGGGCGAUACGGGCAGACUUGAGUACUGCAGGGGAGACUGGAAUUCCUGGUGUAGCGGUGGAAUGCGCAGAUAUCAGGAGGAACACCGGUGGCGAAGGCGGGUCUCUGGGCAGUAACUGACGCUGAGGAGCGAAAGCGUGGGGAGCGAACAGGAUUAGAUACCCUGGUAGUCC
rnacentral:rRNA from 1 species